CCCCCCUUUUCCUCCCUCUCCAAGGUGCUCUUUGGCACUUCCCACGACCGAUAGAGAACAAGAGCCCGUCCCAGACCGAUAGCGAACAAGUAGAGUGAUCGAAAGAUGAAAAGCACUUUGAAAAGAGAGUUAAACAGCACGUGAAAUUGUUGAAAGGGAAGCGCUUGCGACCAGACUCGCCCGCGGGGUUCAGCCGGCAUUCGUGCCGGUGUACUUCCCCGUGGGCGGGCCAGCGUCGGUUUGGGCGGCCGGUCAAAGGCCCCUGGAAUGUAGUGCCCUCCGGGGCACCUUAUAGCCAGGGGUGCAAUGCCCCCCAGCCUGGAUCCUAGGAACGCGUUU
rnacentral:rRNA from 1 species